CUCCAACUUCUCAGAUCCGGCCCUGGACAAGGUUAACACCGAAACCGGCAAUCAUAUAGUAGAAGUAAUCAAACGGCUGGAGCUGCUAACUACGGUUCUUUUCCAAAUCGGUUCGUGAAAAUAAGCAAAAGGAUGAGUCAGUGAGGGAAGGAGAGGUGGUCCAUGAUCAGCAGGAACAAGCCUAUACUCAGGUGUAAGGAGGGAAGUCAAAGAGAGAUUAUCAGACCAGAGAGGUCAACGAGGUGCUCGAAGAGGCUAUUCCAAGUUAGGGCUAAGUAGCAAGCAUUCGGCCACUGGCCCCACUGCACUAAUUUGUGACCAUUAAAGACAGUUUUUAAGUGUUGGUCACAUAUUUAACGUUUUCAUAUAUUAUGGGUAAUUUGUGAAUACAUUUUUACGGCCAGGCUUUUUCAUGUCAGGAUAAUGGGCUAAAUUGCAAUAUUGUUGUACUGAAUAACUUACUUUAUUUUUGAUGUUAAUUGACAAUAUCGGUGUAAGAAAAA